rnacentral:rRNA from 1 species
AGAAUCAACGCUGGCGGCGUGCCUAACACAUGCAAGUCGAACGAGAAAGUGGAGCAAUCCAUGAGUAAAGUGGCGCACGGGUGAGUAACACGUGACUAACCUACCCUUGAGUGGGGGAUAACCUAGAGAAAUCUGGGCUAAUACCGCAUAAUACCUUCGGGUCAAAGGAGCAAUUCGCUUAAGGAGGGGGUCGCGGCCGAUUAGUUAGUUGGCGGGGUAAUGGCCCACCAAGACUGUGAUCGGUAUCCGGCCUGAGAGGGCGCACGGACACACUGGAACUGAAACACGGUCCAGACUCCUACGGGAGGCAGCAGUGGGAAUUUUGCGCAAUGGGGGAAACCCUGACGCAGCAACGCCGCGUGGAGGAUGAAGCCCCUUGGGGCGUAAACUCCUUUCGAUCGGGAAGAUAAUGACGGUACCGAGAGAAGAAGCCCCGGCUAACUUCGCGCCAGCAGCCGC